rnacentral:rRNA from 1 species
GACAGAGGGUGCAAACGUUGCUCGGAAUCACUGGGCGUAAAGGGCGUGUAGGCGGGAAUGUAAGUCGGGCGUGAAAGCCCCAGGCUCAACCUGGGAACUGCACUCGAAACUGCGUUUCUUGAGUAUCGGAGAGGAAAGCGGAAUACCUGGUGUAGAGGUGAAAUUCGUAGAUAUCAGGUGGAACACCAGUGGCGAAGGCGGCUUUCUGGACGAUUACUGGCGCUGAGACGCGAAAGCGUGGGGAGCAAACAGG